rnacentral:SRP_RNA from 1 species
GCCCCGUCUGGUGGCACGUGCCUGUAGUCUCAGCUACUCGGGAGGCUGAGGUGGAAGGAUCGCUUGAGUCCAGGAGUUCUGGGCUGUAGUGCGCUAUGCCGAUUGGGUGUCUGCACUAAGCUUGGCAUCAAUAUGGUGACCUCCCAGGAGCAGGGGACCACUAGGUUGCCUAAGGAGCAGUGAACUGGCCCAGGUUGGAAACGGAGCAGGCCAAAACUCCCGUGCUGAUCAGUAGUGGGAUCACGCCUGUGAAUAGCCACUGCACUCCAGCCUGGGCAACAUAGUGAGACCCCAUCUCU